rnacentral:rRNA from 1 species
AGUGAACGCUGGCGGUAGGCCUAACACAUGCAAGUCGAACGGCAGCACAGUAAGAGCUUGCUCUUACGGGUGGCGAGUGGCGGACGGGUGAGGAAUACAUCGGAAUCUACUUUUUCGUGGGGGACAACGUAGGGAAACUUACGCUAAUACCGCAUACGAUCUACGGGUGAAAGCAGUGGAUCUUCGGACCUUGCGCGAUUGAAUGAGCCGAUGUCGGAUUAGCUAGUUGGCGGGGUAAAGGCCCACCAAGGCGACGAUCCGUAGCUGGUCUGAGAGGAUGAUCGGCCACACUGGAACUGAGACACGGUCCAGACUCCUACGGGAGGCAGCAGUGGGGAAUAUUGGACAAUGGGCGCAAGCCUGAUGCAGCCAUACCGCGUGGGUGAAGAAGGCCUUCGGGUUGUAAAGCCCUUUUGUUGGGAAAGAAAAGCAGCAGGUUAAUACCCCGCUGUUCUGACGGUACCCAAAGAAUAAGCACCGGCUAACUUCGU